rnacentral:rRNA from 1 species
UGGGGAAUAUUGCGCAAUGGGCGAAAGCCUGACGCAGCGACGCCGCGUGAGGGAUGAAGGUUUUCGGAUCGUAAACCUCUGUCAGAAGGGAAGAAACCGCACUGUGCUAAUCAGCAGUGCCUUGACGGUACCUUCAAAGGAAGCACCGGCUAACUCCGUGCCAGCAGCCGCGGUAAUACGGAGGGUGCAAGCGUUAAUCGGAAUUACUGGGCGUAAAGCGCACGUAGGCUGCUUUGUAAGUCAGGGGUGAAAUCCCACGGCUCAUCCGUGGAACUGCCUUUGAUACUGCUUAGCUUGAAUCCGGGAGAGGGUGGCGGAAUUCCAGGUGUAGGAGUGAAAUCCGUAGAUAUCUGGAGGAACAUCAGUGGCGAAGGCGGCCACCUGGACCGGUAUUGACGCUGAGGUGCGAAAGCGUGGGGAGCAAACAUG